rnacentral:rRNA from 1 species
CCUACGGGUGGCAGCAGUGAGGAAUAUUGCACAAUGGGGGAAACCCUGAUGCAGCGACGCCGCGUGAGUGAAGAAGGCUUUCGGGAUGUAAAACUCUAUCAGCAGGGGAGAAAAUGACGGUACCUGAUUAAGAAGCCCCGGCUAACUACGUGCCAGCAGCCGCGGUACUACGUAGGGGGCCAGCGUUAUCCGGAUUUACUGGGUGUAAAGGGAGCGUAGACGGCAGGACAAGUCUGGAGUGAAAUGCCGGGGCUUAACCCCGGAACUGCUUUGGAAACUGUGAAGCUAGAGUGCAGGAGAGGUAAGUGGAAUUCGUAGUGUAGCGGUGAAAUGCGUAGAUAUUAGGAGGAACACCAGUGGCGAAGGCGGCUUACUGGACUGCAACUGACGUUGAGGCUCGAAAGUGUGGGGAGCAAACAGGAUUAGAUACCCUUGUAGUC